rnacentral:lncRNA from 1 species
GCCGCCGAUCGGUGGAGGUAUUUUACCUCCUCUUCCGGUGCCGGAUGUACCCAUGCCACCUCUAAUUCCCCCGCUACCACAGCUCCCUGGUAUUCCACUUCCACCUGUUACCCGCCAAAAAUCAUCGGAAUCCGAUAGAUUGGCCGAUCAAAAAAGUUUUGGUUUCCCGUUUCCACCGCCACUGUUCCCACCGCUGCCGUUUGUGCCAUCGCCGCCGUCAUUGAUUCCUCCCGUCAUUCCAACACCACCACCGUCACUGUUCCCUCCCCUCGUUCCAUCAACACCACCAUCAUUGUUUCCUCCCCUCGUUCCAUCACCACCAUCAUCGAUGUUUCCAC